CCAGCCUCACACUCCCCUGUCUCCAGCCAGCCCCUGCUGCACCCCCAUGCCCGAAGCCAGCCAACCUCACACGCCCCUGUCUCCAGCCAACUCCGCAUCCCAUCUUCAACCAGCUCUGCAUCCCCUGCCCUGCCCGAAGCCAGCCAGCCCCACACCCUGUCAGCUCAGAGAAAAGGCAGGAAUAUUUGUUGAAGGAAGCCAUCCUGGAUCAGAUGAGAGCUGCUGAUCUGGAGCAGCACACAGCAUCACAAGGUGUCAGGAAUGCAGCACUUCGACUCUCCACUGAGAGGAAUGGGGGAACUGUGAGUUUAAAGGAAUCUGUGACCCGCAACCCCAUGUGGCAGGUGUCAUGUCACAGUUUGGAAAGACACAGUUUUAUGGACUUACAUAAAAUGAAAAAGCAUUUGUCUCAAGACUAAUGUCCUCCAAACGAAGACGGAAAUUCUACUGGUAAAGAACUUGUUAAAAAAAUACAAUAUAUUGUCAGGGAGCAUUCAGGGUAAUAGGCAUAGAUGCUCCCCUGCAUUUGGAAUGUGUUGCACCAUGCGUCUUGCCACAGGUGCCAACUUUCAGCUUUCCUCAGGGGUGCUCCACCACCACUCUGCCCAAAGGCCCUGUCCCCAUUCUGCCCCUUCCCUCCAAGCCCAACCCUCACUCUGCCUGUUCCUGCCCCCAUCCUUUCCCCUCCUCCAGAGGCCCCACCCCACCCUGCCUCUUCUUGCCCCCGCUCCUCUCACCCACCACUGAACAGUUGAUCAGCAGUGGGCAGGAGGCACUGGGGGGAUUGGGAGGGAGAGGUGCUGAUCGGCAGGGCCUGCUGAACAGCUAUUUUUUUCCCCAUGGGUGUUCCAGCCCUGGAGCACCCACGGAGUCGGCGCCUAUGCUUCCUGCAUAAAACUGCAUUAAAGGUCAAGGGCAGUGAAAUCCCGCAGUAUGACAAUCCCUGCGCUGGUCAUGACCCAAUAGGCAAUGGCAACACUUCCUGCACUUCAGCUGCUAUAUCAGCCCAUUGAGACCACUGGUAGUCUGUAUAAUUUAGAAUUGCCUUCAGGCUGCCCUUUUGCAGGAGGACUGACUUGAUGCACAUUGGUCAAUGAUCAUGGGUGUAACCAGAGUGCCUUAAAGCACCACCCUUUCCAUGUUCACUUUUUAGCCACCACCAAGAUUCUAGGCCAUAUGUUUCAAUGAGGACACACCCUGUGGCUAAAACCAGCUGUGCUUGAAACUUUUUUGUGGUCAGGGAAGGGGUUUAUGGAUUAUGCCAAACUUUCUGUAUCUUGCUUCAAGUUUUUGCCAAUAAUCUGAGUUGUGUUUUGUGCACAGAUUAACCUGAUCCUCUGUAUUAUCUGAUUUACUUUUCUAUUAUGAACUCAUACUCUUACUU